rnacentral:rRNA from 1 species
CCUACGGGUGGCAGCAGUGAGGAAUAUUGGUCAAUGGCCGUAAGGCUGAACCAGCCAAGUCGCGUGAAGGAAGAAGGAUCUAUGGUUUGUAAACUUCUUUUAUAGGGGAAUAAAGGUAUCCACGUGUGGAUAUUUACAUGUACCCUAUGAAUAAGCAUCGGCUAACUCCGUGCCAGCAGCCGCGGUAAUACGGAGGAUGCGAGCGUUAUCCGGAUUUAUUGGGUUUCACGGGUGCGUAGAUUGUUUUUUAAGUCAGCGGUUAAAGUUUGUGGCUCAACCAUAAAAUUGCCGUUGAAACUGGAAGACGUGAUAGUGUUAGAGGUAGGCGGAAUGCGUGUGGUAGCGGUGAUAGUCAUAGAUAUCACGCAGAACUCCGAGUGCGAAGGCAGCUUACUAAGCCAUAACUGACACUGAAGCACGAAAGCGUGAGGAUCAAACAGGAUUAGAUACCCGGGGAGUC